GUCUAAUCAGCUGCCAGUGCGGCCAGAAUAAAAGCAGGCAGAAGAACGUGAAAAGACUAGACUGGUUUAGCCUCCCAGCCUACAUCUUCCUCCCAUGCUGGUUGCUUCCUGCCCUCAAAUAUCAGACUCCAGGUUAUUCAGCUUGGGGACUCAGACUUGCUCCUUGCUCCUCAGCUUGCAGCCAGCCUAUUAUGGGACCUCAUCUUGUGAUCGAUUCCCCAGGAUCAACCAUCUGAGCAGAUACCUUGGAAUGUCCCCAGAUUUCAGAGCCUCGGACCAGCAGCAACACACUCUGAAGUAGGUCUCAGAAGACAAAAAGCUGAAAUCAACUCAUGCUUCCUGCUACACAGAAUCCACUGAGAGGAAAAGGAAACUUCACCGAAACUUCAGAAAGCUACAGAAAUGACAUCCAUUUUCACAAUCCCAGAAGGAAAGAUGCAUCUGAAGGGAAUAAAAACAGAGCAAUGGAAGAGUAUUUGUUAAAAUAAAUGGCUUUGACAGG
rnacentral:lncRNA from 1 species